GACGAACGCUGGCGGCGUGCUUAACACAUGCAAGUCGAACGAUGAACCCGGGGCUUGCUCCGGUGGAUUAGUGGCGAACGGGUGAGUAACACGUGAGUAACCUGCCCUUGACUCUGGGAUAACUGCGGGAAACUGUAGCUAAUACCGGAUACGACCCUCGGCGGCAUCGCCAGGGGGUGGAAAGAAUUUCGGUCAAGGAUGGACUCGCGGCCUAUCAGCUAGUUGGUGAGGUAACGGCUCACCAAGGCGACGACGGGUAGCCGGCCUGAGAGGGUGACGGGCCACCCUGGGACUGGGAGACGGCCCAGAGUCCGACGGGAGGCAGGGGUGGGGAAUAUUGCGCAAUGGACGAAAGUCUGACGCAGCGACGCCUCGUGAGGGACGAGGGUCUUCGGAUUGUAAACCUCUUUCAGCAGGGACGAAGCGAAAGUGACGGUACCUGCAGAAGAAGCACCGGCUAACUACGUGCCAGCAGCCGCCGUAA
rnacentral:rRNA from 1 species